GACGAACGCUGGCGGCGUGCUUAACACAUGCAAGUCGAACGGAAAGGCCCUGCUUUUGUGGGGUGCUCGAGUGGCGAACGGGUGAGUAACACGUGAGUAACCUGCCCUUGACUUUGGGAUAACUUCAGGAAACUGGGGCUAAUACCGGAUAGGAGCUCCUGCUGAAUGGUGGGGGUUGGAAAGUUUCGGCGGUUGGGGAUGGACUCGCGGCUUAUCAGCUUGUUGGUGGGGUAGUGGCUUACCAAGGCUUUGACGGGUAGCCGGCCUGAGAGGGUGACCGGCCACAUUGGGACUGAGAUACGGCCCAGACUCCUACGGGAGGCAGCAGUGGGGAAUAUUGCACAAUGGGCGGAAGCCUGAUGCAGCAACGCCGCGUGCGGGAUGACGUCCUUCGGGUUGUAAACCGCUUUCGCCUGUGACGAAGCGUGAGUGACGGUAAUGGGUAAAGAAGCACCGGCUAACUACGUG
rnacentral:rRNA from 1 species